rnacentral:tRNA from 1 species
GGUGGCUCAGUGGUAAAGCGCUUGCCUUGCAUGCAUGAGGACCUGGGUUCAAUUCCUCAGCACCA